rnacentral:rRNA from 1 species
UCUCCUUCGGGGGACAAGUAGAGUGGCGCACGGGUGAGUAACACGUAGGUAAUCUACCUUCGGAUGGGGAAUAACAAUCGGAAACGGUUGCUAAUACCGCAUAAUGCAGCGGCACCUAAUGGUGACAGUUGUUAAAGCGGGGGAUCGAAAGACCUCGCGUCUGAAGAGGAGCCUGCGGCGGAUUAGCUAGUUGGUAAGGUAACGGCUUACCAAGGCAACGAUCCGUAACCGGCCUGAGAGGGCGGUCGGUCACACUGACACUGACAUACGGGUCAGACUCCUACGGGAGGCAGCAGUCGGGAAUUUUGGGCAAUGGGCGAAAGCCUGACCCAGCAACGCCGCGUGAAGGAUGAAAUCCCUCGGGAUGUAAACUUCGCAAGAACGGGAAGAAUAAGUAGGGGACAAUACCCCCUAUGAUGACGGUACCGUUUGUAAGCUCCGGCUAACUCCGUGCCAGCAGCCGCGGUAAUACGGGGGGAGCAAGCGUUGUUCGGAUUUACUGGGCGUAAAGGGCGCGUAGGCGGCCAGCACAAGUCAGUUGUGAAAUCUCCGAGCUUAACUCGGAAAGGUCAACUGAUACUGUGCGGCUAGAGUGCAGAAGGGGCAACUGGAAUUCUUGGUGUAGCGGUGAAAUGCGUAGAUAUCAAGAGGAACACCUGCGGCGAAGGCGGGUUGCUGGGCUGACACUGACGCUGAGGCGCGAAAGCUAGGGGAGCGAACGGGAUUAGAUAC